rnacentral:rRNA from 1 species
AGUGAACGCUGGCGGUAGGCCUAACACAUGCAAGUCGAACGGCAGCACAGUAAGAGCUUGCUCUUACGGGUGGCGAGUGGCGUACGGGUGAGGAAUACAUCGGAAUCUACUUUUUCGUGGGGGAUAACGUAGGGAAACUUACGCUAAUACCGCAUACGACCUACGGGUGAAAGCAGGGGAUCUUCGGACCUUGCGCGAUUGAAUGAGCCGAUGUCGGAUUAGCUAGUUGGCGGGGUAAAGGCCCACCAAGGCGACGAUCCGUAGCUGCUCUGAGAGGAUGAUCAGCCACACUGGAACUGAGACACGGUCCAGACUCCUACGGGAGGCAGCAGUGGGGAAUAUUGGAAAAUGGGCGCAAGCCUGAUCCAGCCAUACCGCGUGGGUGAAGAAGGCCUUCGGGUUGUAAAGCCCUUUUGUUGGGAAAGAAAAGCAGCAGGUUAAUACCCCGCUGUUCUGACGGUACCCAAAGAAUAAGCACCGGCUAACUUCGU